UUUAGCAUCCGUGCAAGAGAAUUAUGGCUACAACUCAACAAAUGGAUCAAAGGGAAAGAAGAAUCAUCAAAGGGAGGAAGGUCAUUACACAGAAGAAGGGAGAAGCAACAAGCAGUCAGCUGCUUUUGCUGACGAUUCUGAUCUCCAAGAAAUGUUUGAUAAGGUAUUACAGGGUGUGAAUCCUGAAUCCGAGUCCUGUUUUCAUGAUGAAUCUUUAAACGCUGAGGGAACUAGGAAGUUGCAGCACAACAAGCAGUCAAAAGGAUCUAAGACAACAUGUUCAAAGAAACCGAACAGCAACCGGCAAGUAGUAGACUUGUGCAAACUGCUAACUGAAUGUGCACAAGCUGUGGGAAGCUAUGACCAACAAUCUGCAAGUGAACUUCUCAAGCAGAUAAGACAGCAUUCUUCCCCCUAUGGUUAUGCAACCCAGAGAUUAGCUCAUUACUUUGCCGAAGGCCUAGAGGCACGCUUGGCUGGUGCGAGAUCCCUAUCAUAUCCACCUCUUCUAUUUAUGCACGCAUCAACUACCGAAAUCUUAAAAGCGUAUCAGGUGUAUGUUUCUGCAUGCCCCUUCAAGAAGAUGUUACACUUCUUUGCCAACAGAACAAUUAUGAAACAAACAGAGAAGGCAACGAGGCUUCACAUUAUUGAUUUUGGUAUUUCUUAUGGUUUACAAUGGCCCUGCCUUAUCCAAAGUCUCUCAGAGAAAACUGGUGGACCUCCUAAUCUUCGUAUCACAGCAAUUGAGCUUCCCCAACCAGGUUUUCGACCAGCCGAAAAAAUUGAAAUGACAGGGCGCCGCUUAGCUAAAUAUUCUAAGAGGUAUGGUGUCCCAUUUGAGUAUAAUGUCAUUGCUAAGAAAUGGGAAACCAUCCGACUGGAGGAACUUCAAAUUGACAGAAAUGAAGUGAUCGUGGUUAACUGUAUGCACCGGUUGAAGCAAAUUCCUGAUGAAACAGUAAUGAUGAACAAUCCAAGAGACGCUGUCUUAAAUUUGGUUAAGAGAAUUAAUCCAGACCUUUUCAUGCAUGGGGUUGUCAAUGGGACAUACAAUGCACCUGCCUUUGUCACACGGUUCAAACAGUUGCUCUUCCACUUCCAAGCGCUAUUCGAUAUGUAUGAGGCCACUGUCCCCCACGAAGAUGAACAUCGGUUGUUGUUCGAAAGAGCAAUAUUUGGCAGGGACAUAAUGAAUGUCAUAGCGUGUGAGGGAGUGGAAAGAGUUGAAAGGCCUGAGACAUACAAGCAGUGGCAGGCUAGGUAUGUGAGGGCUGGGUUCAAGCAGCUCCCAUUAGACCGGGAGCUCUUGAAGAAGAUGAAGACUAUGUUGAAGAUGAUGGGGUAUCAUAAGGAUUUUGGAAUUGAAGAUGAUGGUGAGUGGAUGCUGCAGGGAUGGAAAGGAAGGAUUAUCAUAGCUCUUUCUGCUUUGAAGCCUGCAUAGGAGUUUCACAAUUUGACUGCAGGGUCAUGUCCUAGGAGAAUGUUUUUAAGAGCAAAUAGCCAUUUCACAAUUUGUGUUCUCUUUGAUCUUCAAUGUUUCCUGUACCCUUUUUUUUAAAAUCUUAAAUUUUCAAUUUUUUUAAAUCUGCCAAAUGGAGCUUGACCUAUGAUAUGUAUCUUUUGAACCAAGCAAUCAAAAUGCAAGCAGAUCAAAAGAACGAC
rnacentral:lncRNA from 1 species